UACGGAAGGCAGCAGUGGGGAAUAUUGCACAAUGGGCGCAAGCCUGAUGCAGCCAUGCCGCGUGUAUGAAGAAGGCCUUCGGGUUGUAAAGUACUUUCAGUCGUGAGGAAGGUGUUAAGGUUAAUAACCUUAGCAAUUGACGUUAGCGACAGAAGAAGCACCGGCUAACUCCGUGCCAGCAGCCGCGGUAAUACGGAGGGUGCGAGCGUUAAUCGGAAUUACUGGGCGUAAAGGGCACGCAGGCGGUUAAUUAAGUUGGAUGUGAAAUCCCCGGGCUUAACCUGGGAAUGGCAUUCAAGACUGGUUAGCUAGAGUCUUGUAGAGGGGGUAGAAUUCCAUGUGUAGCGGUGAAAUGCGUAGAGAUGUGGAGGAAUACCGGGUGGCGAAGGCGGCCCCUGGGACAAAGACUGACGCUCAUGUGCGAAAGCGUGGGGAGCAAACAGGGAUUAAUACC
rnacentral:rRNA from 1 species